AUUGAACGCUGGCGGCAGGCCUAACACAUGCAAGUCGAGCGGAUCAAGGGAGCUUGCUCCUGGAUUCAGCGGCGGACGGGUGAGUAAUGCCUAGGAAUCUGCCUGGUCGUGGGGGAUAACGUCCGUAAACGGGCGCUAAUACCGCAUACGUCCUGAGGGAGAAAGUGGGGGAUCUUCGGACCUCACGCUAUCAGAUGAGCCUAGGUCGGAUUAGCUAGUUGGUGGGGUAAAGGCCUACCAAGGCGACGAUCCGUAACUGGUCUGAGAGGAUGAUCAGUCACACUGGAACUGAGACACGGUCCAGACUCCUACGGGAGGCAGCAGUGGGGAAUAUUGGACAAUGGGCGAAAGCCUGAUCCAGCCAUGCCGCGUGUGUGAAGAAGGUCUUCGGAUUGUAAAGCACUUUAAGUUGGGAGGAAGGGCAGUAAGUUAAUACCUUGCUGUUUUGACGGUACCAACAGAAUAAGCACCGGCUAACUUCGUG
rnacentral:rRNA from 1 species